CGUGAUGGUAUACGAGCGCGCCGGUGCUGGCUCGUCAAAGAGGGAGUGGCUCAAGGUCGCCAUCUGGAUAUUAACAACUCUACUGACGCUCGCCUUCUCCUAUAAGGUUGCGGUCGUCAUGCCCCCGCCGGUAGCAGUUCUGGUAUGGCUGAUGGCCUUCGCGACCAUUGCUGGAGGCUUCGUCGCCUUCUUCAUUUACAAAGAGAAGAAGUGAGGCAACAGUGUGGGGGUGACUCGGGCGGCCACCAAAAUGUUAGGCACAACUUUUACAUUGGAAUGAGUUGUAUGGGUCUGUCCCAGCUACGCACAAGGGAGUAAUACAAAGAGGAAUGUAUAGCAUUAUGG
rnacentral:lncRNA from 1 species